rnacentral:tRNA from 1 species
AAUAAGGUGCCUGACUAAAGGAUUAUUUUGAUAGAAUAAAUUAAGUAAUUUUACUCUUAUUG